rnacentral:tRNA from 1 species
GCCGAAGCUGAUCGACAAGGUCCGCGAGUACGGCGUCCCCGGCGUCCACGACGAGGAGACCGAGGAGUGCACGCCGGGCACGGACCCCGGCUUCGGCG